ACGAACACAAUAGUNCACUAUAUAAAGUC
rnacentral:piRNA from 1 species